ensembl:lncRNA
CUGAUGAAAUAGGUAACAGCAGAAAGGCAAGUCAAGCUAGAAGGAGAAGAAAAAAGAUGUUUAAUCAAUAAAUUAAAAAAAAAAAGUUUUUUAUGUAGAGUAAUUUUUAUGUUCUUAAACAAUCAGGCCACAAUACAAAUGUGAUUGCUUUUAAAUCAGGUAGUGUCUGAUGCUGGAGACUUCUUCCACACUGAAGGAACAAUGGCAAUUCUUAAGGAACAGAACAGGAGCAUAAAGGGAGAGAGAAGCAUGUAGUAUUCCUUCUGCUGCAGAAGUUCAGCAGCCCAAAGAGAAACACACGAAUGGAUACAAAUUCAGAAAAUGAAGCCUUUCAUAAAGAUAAUGUGGCGCAUUCAAUGAUCUACAGAAAUGAGGGAAAUUGUAAGCAAUUUUCUCUGCCAGUUUGGCUUUCUUUUCAUCUCUCAGAAAUAUUUUAGAGAUAACUCACAUUACUGCCUUGAAGUUUAAAGAGGAAUGGAAAUGGAUGAGUUGGAUUGUCCUUUAUCCUGCCUUUCAUAUGGGGCAAUUGUGAGCUAAAUCAGGCCACGUGGCUAUAUCUUAUGCAGGUGUAAAUGAUUCAGCUGUCAUAGUUUAGUUGUCUGUUUUCAGAUGAGAUGAAUUGCAUUGCAGAAAUGCCAGUUUAUUCUUAUUGACUAUAAAGGGAGCCUUGGGUGACCAGCUCAGAUAAAAGGAAAACAUAACCAAAAAUGGGAGAGAGUAUCCGAGAAAGAGUGUAUGAGCAUGUAAUGAAAGAAUGCAUCAUCACUCUUACAGGCUCUGAAGCUAAAUGAAUAUUGCAUGCACCACUGCCAUCUCACAUUUAAUGAAGUUUCUCAGGAGACAAAGAACUGUUCAACACUGUUAUGAAAUCGAGGACAGAAAUCCAACUGGGAUAAUGUGCAAAGCGUGUGGAAUUAAGGCAAGAAUCACAGAAUUGCAGGAAUUGGAAGAGACCUAAAGAGUCCAACCCCUGCUAAGGCAGGUUCCCUACAAUAGGUCACACAGUGGCUGAACAUCCAUACCAUCAAUGGAAAUGGAGACUAAGUCUUUAUCUGAGUCCAUAUCACAUCUAUGGGAGUUUUUCCAUUGACCUCAGUGGGUCAAAGGGAUCAAGUAUUUUAUUUUAUUUUAUUUUAUUUUAUUUUAUUUUAUUUUAUUUUAUUUUAUUAUUUUAUUUUUUUGUUAGAAUUUCUUUCCAUCAAGUUGGAGAAACAGGAUGUAAAUAUUGAGUCACCGUCCCCAUUGCUAACCAUGCACCAAGAUUAGCCAGUUGGACUUGGUGUGGGACUUACCUCCUAAGAGGUCAUGAUCCCCGUGACCGAGGAGCCCAUUCAGGUAGGGAUGAGUGAAUUUUUGCUUUGAAAUAUAUGUCAUCCAUCAGUAGAUACUACAAGCAAGACCGCAAGUUCCAGAAAUUUCAACACUUUCAAGUCAAGGUAAUAUCCAUUUGCUCUGCUGAAUUCAGAUCUUUAAUUUUAGAGCAGGCAGGACUUUGCAGCCUGGAAUACAUUAACACAGAGAAACAAUCAUUUAAUGUAGUAGCCAAGUAGUCAGGUCACUGACAAUUUACAGAGUAAAUACUUAGAAAUAGUCUCUAUCUUUAUUGGUGUUUAUAUUCAGAGAUAAUUAGUAACUUGUGCACAGACACAAAGUAAUUGAUGUAAUGAUUUAUUUUGAACUUGUUCUUCUCUUGCAAGAGCUGCUUACACAAGGGCAUACAUUAGCUGGUUUGUUGAAAAUAUUUAAUUUUGUAACUCUUUGCUGACCAAGUAUAAAGGCCUAGCACUAAUUGUACAUGUGGAGAAUUGACUUCAAAAUGCUGUGCAAUGAGAAGAGAAAACCUAGUGCAGAGAUGUCCAAAGUGAUGCUUGCUGUGAUACAAGGGGGUGUACUCUUCUCUCCUGUAAAUUACCAUCACCAGAGUGAGGAUCAUAAGAUGGGAGGUCACAAGAGGGAAAGUAGCCAUACUGCUACACAUCUUCAUCCUCUUCUUCUCCUUACAAACAAUGCACUCCCUUUCAGCUUAGUCCUUAUUUCUGCAAGAAAGUGCAUGAGUGCCGUGGAAUGGGGUGUGGGAAGAUCCUGUUCAAGGUUUUAUAUGGCAUAGUGGUUCAGGAAGCACUGCUAAUAUUGCAGGUAGCAACAGUGAGAAGCUAAGUGAUGUAUCAUGUUUUCUUUUCGAUUCAUGCUUGUGAUUCAGAGCUGGGAUCCAUCCUGGACUGCUGCUGGUUUGGGCUGUUGGUGAUAAAAUGCCAAAGUGCAGCUCGUUUUACAACUUACAUCUAUUGAAACUGCCAACAGAGCUCCACUGAUGGAGAGUCACACUCUUCCCAACAGCUUUUAGGUAGGAAAAAAGGAGUAUCAAAUAGAACAAGCCAACUUGAAUGUAUUCUUUCCCAUCACUUCUGCCUAAAGCAGUCAUUCGACAAAGGAUAUUUUUAUAUUACCUAAAACAGGCUAUUUUGAAGGUUUCACUGAGGGGUGUUCAUAUGAUCAGUCAGUUCAACACACAAAUCAGCGUGUUGGUGCUCCAGGGGCACAACUGAGCACAUCUAACACGUCAAGGGAAGCCGUAAUGGAGGUGCAAAUGCUGCCACCCACAGACAUAGGUCACAUGAACAGAAUUAUUCUCACAUUACUUAGUAUUUCCAUCCACCACCCAAAAUUCAGAUUCCCCUACCACUCACCUUGUAAAAUUCCUUGCAAAUGCUCUGCUCACACAAGCACCCAUUACUGACGGAUAGAGGCAGACCUCUCAGCAACAGCAUGCUUCCCUGCCUGGACAGCUUUCCAUGGGCCCUCCAAAUAACAGGCUGUGCUGAGUGAAGUAAUGACUUGGAAAGAGUAGAAUAUCCACUGCCUUCUCUGUUUGGACUUCUUCACUGGCAGGCUCCCCUUCUUUUUUUGUUCAGUAUUUUACCUAGAGAGUGCUGAGCUACAGAGGAGCUAGAGAUUCUUCGACCAACUUGGUCCCAUCCUCUCUGCUGCAGCUCAAGAGCAAUGAGAGCAUGGUUGCUAAAUGUGGGACAGAUAACUGGAACCAGGCUUUUACACUCAAUAUAACUGGCAGAACUGACAGGAGAGGAAAGCAACAUACAGAGAUGGUGUAGACAAGUUGCUCAGGCACACAAAGGUGAUUUUUCUGUGGAUGCCUAUAGGUUUGUGGAGUAGUUGAGGCAACCCCUUUGAACACUUAGGCUCAGGAUUUACACCUUCC